rnacentral:rRNA from 1 species
GGUUCCUACGGGGGGCAGCAGUGGGGAAUAUUGCACAAUGGGGGAAACCCUGAUGCAGCGACGCCGCGUGAGCGAAGAAGUAUUUCGGUAUGUAAAGCUCUAUCAGCAGGGAAGAAAAAUGACGGUACCUGAGUAAGAAGCACCGGCUAAAUACGUGCCAGCAGCCGCGGUAAUACGUAGGUGGCAAGCGUUGUCCGGAUUUACUGGGUGUAAAGGGCGUGCAGCCGGGCUGACAAGUCAGAUGUGAAAUCCCGCGGCUCAACCGCGGAACUGCAUUUGAAACUGUCAGUCUUGAGUACCGGAGG